GUAUGGCGAACGGGUGAGUAACACGUAGGCAACCUGCCCAAAAGAGGGGGAUAACACUUGGAAACAGGUGCUAAUACCGCAUACUUUUGGAUGGGCCUGCGGCGUAUUAACUUGUUGGUGGGGUAACGGCCUACCAAGGUGAUGAUACGUAGUCGAACUGAGAGGUUGAUCGGCCACAUUGGGACUGAGACACGGCCCAAACUCCUACGGGAGGCAGCAGUAGGGAAUCUUCCACAAUGGACGAAAGUCUGAUGGAGCAACGCCGCGUGAAUGAAGAAGGCCUUCGGGUCGUAAAAUUCUGUUGUCAGAGAAGCGGUAUCUGACCAGAAAGCCACGGCUAACUACGUGCCAGCAGCUGCGGUAAUACGUGGGUGGCGAGCGUUGUCCGGAUUUAUUGGGCGUAAAGGGAACGCAGGCGGUCUUUUAAGUCUGAUGUGAAAGCCUUCGGCUUAACCGAAGUAGGCAUUGGAAACUGGAAGACUUGAGUGCAGAAGAGGAGAGUGGAACUCCAUGUGUAGCGGUGAAAUGCGUAGAUAUAUGGAAGAACACCAGUGGCGAAAGCGGCUCUCUGGUCUGUAACUGACGCUGAGGUUCGAAAGCGUGGGUAGAAACAG
rnacentral:rRNA from 1 species